rnacentral:rRNA from 1 species
GAUGAACGCUGGCGGCGUGCCUAAUACAUGCAAGUCGAGCGAACAGACGAGGAGCUUGCUCCUCUGACGUUAGCGGCGGACGGGUGAGUAACACGUGGCUAACCUACCUAUAAGACUGGGAUAACUUCGGGAAACCGGAGCUAAUACCGGAUAAUAUAUUGAACCGCAUGGUUCAAUAGUGAAAGACGGUUUUGCUGUCACUUAUAGAUGGAUCCGCGCAGCAUUAGCUAGUUGGUAAGGUAACGGCUUACCAAGGCAACGAUGCGUAGCCGACCUGAGAGGGUGAUCGGCCACACUGGAACUGAGACACGGUCCAGACUCCUACGGGAGGCAGCAGUAGGGAAUCUUCCGCAAUGGGCGAAAGCCUGACGGAGCAACGCCGCGUGAGUGAUGAAGGUCUUCGGAUCGUAAAACUCUGUUAUUAGGGAAGAACAAAUGUGUAAGUAACUAUGCACGUCUUGACGGUACCUAAUCAGAAAGCCACGGCUAACUACGUG